ACUCCUACGGGAGGCAGCAGUGGGGAAUUUUGGACAAUGGGCGAAAGCCUGAUCCAGCAAUGCCGCGUGUGUGAAGAAGGCCUUCGGGUUGUAAAGCACUUUUGUCCGGAAAGAAAUCCUUGGCUCUAAUACAGUCGGGGGAUGACGGUACCGGAAGAAUAAGCACCGGCUAACUACGUGCCAGCAGCCGCGGUAAUACGUAGGGUGCGAGCGUUAAUCGGAAUUACUGGGCGUAAAGCGUGCGCAGGCGGUUUGCUAAGACCGAUGUGAAAUCCCCGGGCUCAACCUGGGAACUGCAUUGGUGACUGGCAGGCUAGAGUAUGGCAGAGGGGGGUAGAAUUCCACGUGUAGCAGUGAAAUGCGUAGAGAUGUGGAGGAAUACCGAUGGCGAAGGCAGCCCCCUGGGCCAAUACUGACGCUCAUGCACGAAAGCGUGGGGAGCAAACAGGAUUAGAAACCCUAGUAGUCC
rnacentral:rRNA from 1 species